CUGGCGCCAGACCUGAGCUCCUGGGGGCCCCCGCAGGGGUUGGCGGGGGUCCAGGACCCCGGGUCCGGAGGCGCUCCCGGGCUGUGGCGGCGCACGUCCCUCAGUGGCCAGCCCGCGGGGAUCCUCAGGCCGGGCCUGUCCCUGGCGCAGCAGGACCCGCCAAGUCGCCCUCUCCAGCAGCUCAGGAGGUCGCUGCACAAGGCCCCCCACCUGCAGGAAUCCCGGGGGACACGAGGAGCCAGGCCCCCCGUGUGAGAGGCCAACGCGGACUCCAUCGAGGCUCCACUAGGAAUGGACCCAGACCCAGCUUCUGCUGCUUUUCCUUUUUGCUUGUCCUGGCUGGGACCUCACGUGGAAGGCGGCCGUGGGGGAAGGAGGUCCUCCCUGUGCAGCUCUUCCGUCCAGUCUGGGCCGGCCCUGGCUGCGAGCUGUACCAGGAGCCCGGAGAGCAGGCCUCCUCCCAGACGCAGAGUGUCCACUCGAUCUCAGGUCCACCCAGAUAGUGGGCCGAGGCACCAGGGGAGCACGGAGGCAUUUGCUAACUGGGACCCAGUGUUUUGAGGGGGUGUGAAUCAAAUGAUUAUUUCUCCCGGCCUCAUUACUCUAGUUCAUGGAAUUACUCCCUUGCAUGAAGGGGAGACAUUUCUGGAUCCCUAAUUUGGGGCAUAGUAUUAUUAACUAGGGCAAAAGUAAAAUAGUUCCUUCAUUAAAAUUUAUAAAUUUCAAACAUUUACCACAAACUGUAUGUAGUGAGAGCAGCUCAAUUUCUGUGCAUGCCUCUCCUUGUGACCCUGACCAGCAGGAGGUGGGGCCCCACACAGGCAGCGGGAGUGGGUGAAGAAGGACAACUUGGAUACCAUCCAGCAGCCCCUCGGUUCACACACAGAUGACUGAAAUCAUGAGGAAGUAGCCCAAAGUGUUCAUGUAUUGCUCUGGGGGUAGGAGAGGGCCAGCCCCUGCUGUGGGACUGCCUAGUCCUGGGGUCCUGAGGACAUCCGUGCCCUGAGAAGCUCUCCAGCCGUGUCCCUGCUUGGGCAGCAGGUCGGGAAGUGACCAGCCCUCUGAUAACCCGGCUGAUCCCCUCGCCAGCUGAUAUGGUCAAGUGUGACCUUGCUGAGGGCCCUUCUGUGUUUUGAGGAAGAGAGAAAAAGCUGGGGAACGAAAAAGAGAGGCCUGGGGUUCAGCAGCGGUCCAAGUCCUCUUACACAGCCUCGCCCAUACAGAAAGGGAAAGAGCAGGGCUAGGUCCCAGUGCCCUUUCUAAGCCUCAUGCUGGACUGGGGCAGGUGACCUCUCCUUGGACCCUCGGUUGUCAAAUCUGUAAAGGCAACUAGCUCAGGGCCUACCUUCUCCGCUGUGAGUGAUGACAGUACAGCUCUUGGGGACUAUGGUGGGUCUUACUUGCUGGCGGACAGUGGUGGUCGCUGUCUCCGUUGCCUGUGUGGCCAUCAGCACACUGCUGAUCUCUGAGCAUUCAGUGGCCAAUUGCUCUGAUCCCAGACACAAGAACCCAGCCGGGAGCUGGUGGGACAGUGUGAAAAGCGAAGAAGGAUGGGCAAGGAGAGGGGUUCUCCACUUCUCAAGAAGCAGAGCCGUGGAGAAACCCCAAAGGCUGACAAAGGCAGAAAGCAGCCAGGAGAGCAGGGGUGAGGAGUGCAGAACCUGGAAGGGUGAGUCCAUGGAGAGCGGGGGUGAAAAUGGGGCUUAGAAGGGUGGGUCCACGGAGAGCAGGGAUGAGGAGUACAGGGCCCAGAAAGGUGAGUCCAUGGAGACUAGAGGUGAGGAGUGCAGGGCCUAGAAAGAUGGGUCCAUGGAGAGCAGGGAUGAGGAGUGCAGGGCCCAGAAGGGUGAGUCCAGGCAAGUUGGUUGGCUUGCACUGCUUCAUACUUUCUUCAUUUCAGUGUUAAUCCUGUGAUGAAAUAUUCUAGAAGUCAUAGAGUGUUCUGGAAGCCUGACUAGGAGAUGGUCUUGGGCAAGGGCUUAUAAGGAGUUGUCUUUCUUGUUGUGGAGAAACUACCAGUGGGACCCUUGAACCUCUAAGGCAAAUCCCCCGCAGUUGUGCAGGAAUCUUCUGGACUACAGACCCUGGCGCACAGAACAGCUGGCCGGGCUCUGGGAAGCCCUAGCUGUGUCCCUGCGGCCCCUUGCUCCCGCUCUGCUUCUGUCUUUGGACAACGGAGCGUCCCGUUGUCCAGACGGACCGACACCAUGAGGUGCCUGCUUGCUGGCGUGGGCUCUGUGUUUUGGUCUGUUCGUUGGAUUUCAGAGCUCUGCACGGAUUCUCAGAGGAGACGAGUUCUCCGUUUUCUUCUGCUGCUUAUUUUUCAUGCUGCCUUUCACGGUGUUUUUAAUCCGUCGACGCAUUUUUCUCCUCUACACUGUGCCCCGUAUUCUCAACACCAUCUAUUGACUCCCCUCCCCAGCUUGAGGCUCCCCUUCCGGCAUGAGCACAGGGAUUUAGAAAGCUCUUUCCAGAAGCUCUGUUCUGUUGCCUUGGUUUCUGUGUUGUGGGGGCCCCACACUCUUCCAACUGCUGGACCUUUGGAGUCAUGUGCCUCAGUGACCAGCAGGGUGAACUCCCGUGCCUGCUUCUUUUAAGAAUUGUCUUAGUGGCUCAUACAAGUUUAUUUGUCCAUCCAAAUUAUAGAAUGAGUUUGUCCCAUUGCUAAAAAUUUCCCUGGAAGUUUUGUUUGGGGCGCGUUAAAUGUCUAGUUUCCUAAGAGGGUGUUGUAGGGGUACCUGGAGUUUGCUUUAGUGUGGCGUGCUGAGGCACACAGACAAGGACAUGGCACGAAGGAUGAAAUCUUGCUCACGGUUCCCUAGGAACAGCAGGCCUGCUUGCCAUGGGGCUUGGGAAGCUCCAGGCUCUGUCAGGAGGCAGUGGGAGCGGGUGGAAAAUGUAGCAAGACCCUUUACUGUGGUUCCCACAGGAGGAGCAGAGGAAGCCGGGCAACCCGGCUUAGAAUUGGUCAGUGUGAGUAAUUCCAGUGGCUGGUGGGGUGUGGGGCUGUACCUGGUUGUCCAGCACCUGCCCUGGGUUGAUUAGGGCUGGUGGGCAGUGGCCACAGAGAGGAGGGGUGGGAGUGGGCUCUGGAUGGCUGCUUUGCACAUGAAAGGUGAGUUAGCUAGUUCUGGGAAGGGCCAUCCCUACAGGGUCUGCAGGCCCCAGGUGUCAAAGGUCAGAAUGAAAAGACUUGCUUAGGGCAGAGUCAGAGCACUGUAGCCAGAGGGACCCUCCCACAGGUCAGCAGGUCGGGGCUCGCUGGCAACACCCACCCCAUCAGUGAGCAAGCCGGAGCCCCUUGUCCUACCCUUCCAGCUUGUCCUCCCCACGCGGCCUCCCAACCCUGCCGGCAGGUGGCCUUAGGUCUCUAUCAUCUGCUGUUCCCUUUGCCUGGACAUCUGCAUUUCUGCCUCCUCACUUCCUUCAAAUUUGAACCAAACGUCAGACUGGUAAGACCUGGGGGUCCUGUUACCCUCUCCCCUUGGUGUAUGUGUGGCUCUCAGGGCACCUGUGCAUUCCACAUGCAUUCAGCGUGAAGUUUAAUUUGUUUGGAACAGAACAGUUUCCAAGACGCCUUCUGUGAGUGGAAUAGGGCCAUUUUAUAGAUGUGGAAAUUGAGGCAUGAGAAACCGACCGGACCAAGAUUACCGCCAGGGCCGCUAAAGGCUCUGGCCUCAUUUCCAGGGGUCUUUCUCUCCGCUCACAGAUCAGGACUCCUGAUGGACGUCGUCCCGUGGUCACCCAUUUCUGCAGGCCGCCCUCCACAGAGCGUCCUAUUUUUACAGCACUUGGGUUCCAGAUAAAACCACUUCCCUCAGAUAUGCAGACGUUUGACAUCAAACAAGGAUCUAAAUACUGACGGGCGAUCCCCAUAGAGAACACGUACUGAUCACCCAGAAUGAGCCUGAUUCCUUGUGCAGUGGCAUUCUUCGAGUUGAAAAUGAAGUAUUUGCUGACGUUCUGCUCAGUUGGGUCAGUCCCCUCCAACACGGCCACAUGUCCGACUUCAGCGGCCUCAGCGGUCCUUCCAGACAGAACUUCACGUAGGUAACGUGUUCUGAUGGUGUUUUCAGCCAUUUUCCUGUCCCCUGUGCUCGGAAUUCCCAGGACUGCCCUGGAGAGCUACUUGUAACCAGCUCCGUUCUCGGGGCGAGCUGGCGCAGGCCACAGUUUUCUCCACCUCGUGAGUUACAUCCCGUGGCGUGAGAAGGCAGUGGACUGGAGCCACGGGCACGGGUUCUGCGUGACCCUGGGAGGGGCUCUGCUCCUCUCUGCCUCCCGUUCCCUCCUUGGCUGUAAAGUGGGGUAAGGUUGAACCCGUCAGGAGGGUUUUCGUAGGGGUGGGAGAGUGAAUGCGGGUGGGGUGCCCAGGAUGGGGUCUGGUCCCCGGCGAGUGCUCGCUGAGCGCAAGCUACCUUAGUGAGUGCCUGGCAUUCACUGCUGGAACUGGCAGCCUUCCCACCAACGGGGGUCUGGGGGUGGGCAAGCGCGUCUCCCUGAAUUCUCAGCAGUCUGCGUCAGACAAGCCUGGGUACAAAGGAAGCGUGGAUUCUUUCACGAAGGUUAGGGAACUGGUCUUGCUGCUCGGAGAACUGGAGCCUGGAUUGCAGGUGGGGUUUUGUGGAAAGCUGGUGGUGGUUCCAGCUGCCGACUAGGUUCCAGAGGGAAGGGCGCUGCUGACUCCGUGAAUUCCACUGCAAGUCCAGGCGCGGGUGUUCCCAAUCCCUGAGGACGAGACCAAGCACCCUGCGUUGGGCAGUUCGCCGCCUCUCUUUGAACAAACGGUUUCUUCCACAUUCACAGAUGGUUGUGUAGGUCCAGCCAGGAUGGCGUGUCCUCCGCGCUCCUUGUGACUCUGUGAGUUUGUUACCAGUUACAACACACAUCCAUUUCUCUGGACACACACCCUGGCAUGUGCGUGCCAUGCGGUGACUUAAAUGUGUAAGCGUGCCGACAGGUGAGGGCCCCCGGGGGGUGCUUGUGUGUUGGGGUGGGGGUCAGGCCCCCUCAUUCACCGACGGGGACUUGGGACUAUUCUUUCCCCUUCUCAGCCUGGGUUUUGUCAUCUACAGAAAGGGGUUAAUGAGACAGCCUCUCCCACGGUCACCGUGAAUGGCAUUUUUGUCGUGGGUGUUCGCCGAGCGGGGCUGCGGGAAGCUCUGGAUAGACUUUGGCUGUUGGUGUCGGCACGGGAAACGCGAGCCCCUUGCCCUCCCCUGAACACAGCAUUCUGGCAUUUCUUAUUCACUGUGCCCACAGGGCGCCUUGCCAGCCUCUUCAUAAAGCUGCUACUCAGAGGCAGAGUGCGUCCUCCUGGUCGGUGUCACGUCUCCAGAGCGAGGCUUCGUCUCAUCAGGAAAUGCGAACUCACCCAUCCCGCUGCCAGGGGACAGUUAGCCAAGCAGAUGCGGGAGGCAUUCAGUUCUGGGCUCGAAUUCCAUCCCCCACUCCCUGGGGUCUGUGGGGCUGGUUACCUCCCAACCUGGUUUCUUCCUUCAUCGUCGUCAGAUGAAAGUGACUGAGCGAGUGGUCCUGGGCUCGCCUCCCGAGGAGGUAAGCUGGGGCGGGCGGGGGUGUAGGAGUCUCUGAUGCAGACCCCAGGGGCCCAGGCUUUGCCCGGUAAACCAGUGGACGUCACAUCAAACUUCAACAGGCAGUGAGAUCUGAGGAAACUGUCUUUUCAUCUUUAAAAAAGAAAUCUGGGGAAAUGCGGGACGUAGCCAAGCAGCGUCUCUUGAGGUGAACUCGUCAAGUGUUCCCGUGUUGCUUCUUGAUCUGGAGUGUUCCUGUGAGGCCUCGAGGGCCCUACAUGAGAUUGUGUAAGGCAGCUGGCUCAUUGCAGGCAUCCGGUGGGGUCGGCCCCCCGGGGACCCUUCACAGACAUGCCUCCCACUUCAGUAAGAGCUCAAGAAGAACUCGAGCCUGGUUCCUAGCCGGCGGGACGGUGACGGGGGUCCAGGUCCCCCACGCACACACAGCUGGGCACACCUGUGCGGCCUUGUGAUUUCUGCACACACUUUGUGCUUAACCAGCAUGAAAUGUGAAGCUGGGAAACCGGGACGAGGUUGUGCAGUAAAUUCACAUGCCCCUGAUGGACGGCAGGCGUGUGCUUGUCGGGGACCCGGUUUUCAGGGUUAGGGCUCAGCGGGACUGCUGCCUGGGGGCCCGGAAGGGCUGGGUCCAGGGUGGGGCCUCCUGUUACCGGGCCCCGGAGGAGCACGGUUUCUGCUCAACCAAGUGUCAUCACGUCAUCCGAAGUCUAGGGUAGAGAUUCAGCCUGACAGCGUGAGGCCAGGCGUUCUCAGAGGGCGUGUGCAGAAACGACUCCCCUUAGAAUCGCCUUCCACCUUAAGAUGGAAAACUCUUGGUACGGUCUGCGGCCAGACAGACUUGCACAGUUAAAUCUGUAACAUUUUGUAACUAUUGCUUCUCUUUUCGUCGGUCCCUCAAGCUGUACGUAACAGGCUCCUUAUGCUUCUGCUUAAACCUUUUCCUCAGAAUCCUUUUAUUUACUUAUGUUUUUAGCUCAGUAGUAAGGAUGCUUUCUAACAACAGGAGAUGCAGAAAUAAUAAAAUCUGUAGACAUGU